rnacentral:lncRNA from 1 species
AAGAGAGUGCCUGGUACAGAGAAGGUGUUCAAUAUUUCUUAAAUAUUAAAAGAUUGAGCUCUGAAGGCAAUACUGCCAAGUGAACAGAUUGAACUAUAAGGACAAAAGAGAUGGAGAAGUCAUACAAUGGAGGAAACCUGGGACCCUGAACAACUAUGUGGAACAGAGCACCCACCCCAUUUCAGUCCUAACUGAACUUUACACAGGACUGCUACAAAAGUAAUGUGGAAAGGGCAGAGAAAGCAUGACUAUUCCCGUUUUAGAGUCGAAGAACCAAGGCUCAGAAGCAUUAAGU